rnacentral:rRNA from 2 species
UAGGGAAUCUUCCACAAUGGACGCAAGUCUGAUGGAGCAACGCCGCGUGAGUGAAGAAGGUUUUCGGAUCGUAAAGCUCUGUUGUUGGUGAAGAAGGAUAGAGGCAGUAACUGGUCUUUAUUUGACGGUAACCAACCAGAAAGUCACGGCUAACUACGUGCCAGCAGCCGCGGUAAUACGUAGGUGGCAAGCGUUGUCCGGAUUUAUUGGGCGUAAAGCGAGCGCAGGCGGAAUGAUAAGUCUGAUGUGAAAGCCCACGGCUCAACCGUGGAACUGCAUCGGAAACUGUCAUUCUUGAGUGCAGAAGAGGAGAGUGGAAUUCCAUGUGUAGCGGUGGAAUGCGUAGAUAUAUGGAAGAACACCAGUGGCGAAGGCGGCUCUCUGGUCUGCAACUGACGCUGAGGCUCGAAAGCAUGGGUAGCGAACAGG